UAUUUCUUUUCUUUUUAUUUCUAAUUUUUCCCCAUUCCCUAAAUUUGGGAUCCGGCGGAGCAGUGACGGUGGUCGCGCUUCCUUCUUAUUUCUGGUAUCCUUCUUCAUUUUGUGUUGGAGACAGUCUUCUUCGGAAUUACUACGGCAAAGUUGUUGGCAUUUUGGGGUCACGUCAGGUCAUGCAUGCAUGCGUUACCGGUGUUAUCCAGGAUUAUCAGUCCCAUUCUUGCAAGUCCUACUUGGCCAUCAGGCUCGGCUACUCCUGGUAACAAAGAAGGACGGACGAGGAAAAUUCGCUGCCUUUACUGAAGCAACAAGGUGUUGGGCUCGAGGGCAUUGCGAAAAGUUAGGGAGGAUAUUCCACCUCUGCUGCUUACUGUUGGUGGAAAUUUGGUGGUCUUUUUUCUCUAUUUUACUUUGUUAUCCCUUUAUUUAACACAUAUGACUAUGGAUAUAUCUAUUUUGAUAUUUCAUUAUGCCAAUGUAUUUAGGUUUGGUACGUUUAAAUCCAAGACUCCGUUGCCCAUAGAAGAUUAUUGGAACGCUCUAUUCAGGAGAAGACAAUAUUUCUUCUGUUGUUUGUUUGGAAAUUAAAGCAUUCAGAGGACCAAGAUACAUCAAUUUUGACUGGCGAAUAGUAAUACAAUGUCAAACUCGUUAAAAGGAAAACCUGUGCAGGUCCUCCCCAGGGAAAAUGGUGUGCGGUACCCAUGGAACUUCAUCCUCAGCAAGUGCUUUGGGAGGAAGAAAAGUAACAUCCACUAUCGGGUUCCAGGUCUCGAAACUAAUUUGUUCCCGGAGAAUACAGAGGUCACUAAGGGUGUCUGGAAAUGAGGCAAUAAGAGCUGGAUGGGAGGUGCAUACAAGUUAGAAAUCUGCAUACAAAUUGUUGUGCGGUUCAUUCAUUACGACUUACAUUGUAUGAGAACCAUAUACUUUUUUACUUCUGGGAGAUAAUGGAGCUGGCAAAAGCACAAGAAUAUCAAUGCUUGUCGGCCUUCUUCGUCCAACGUCUGGAGAUCCCCUUCUACAUGGUAACUGUAAAGAUGAGAUACGGAAAAAAAUAGGUGUUCACCCUCAGCAUGAUAAUCCUCUUUCCAGAACUGAAGAAACGGAGGAAGGAGAGACCAAGCGCCAGUUUCUCUAAACUGAAUCUUGAUUUCCUAAAAUACUCGAUUGCGUUUGCUUUGGUUUCUGAGGAGAGGGAGAUGUCAAACCAUCCGAAGAUGACAUGUGUGUCUUCGGCGCAUCAGAAUUUGGAGGAGAAGCUAAGAGAACUUCAGGAGAAGUUCUGUCAUCUUCAGGCUGCUAGGAAAGAAGGGCGCCAUGGUGACCUUACUCUUUUGGAAGCCCAAAUCUCGCAGAAUCUUCGUGAGUGGCAAGCUGAACUCACUGCUCCUUCUCCAGAAUCUUCUCUUCUGGUUCGUACUCCAUUACUUGUACUUCUCAGCUGGUUAUAUGACUAGAGAUUAGCCUCGUUUGAUGACAAAUUAGCUAGCUACAGUUUCUGCUCCUUCUCCAGAAUCUUCUUCUCUUCUGGGUGAAGGUAUUAGCCAAUUCGUUGAGGAGUUUGCAGAAGCAACUAGUUCGUUAUAGGAGCAUGCUGCACCAAAGCCUGAGGGUUUGUACAAAUCCAUUAUUAUCAGGUCAUACAUACUACAUUCUUUAGAUGUUAAAAAAUGCACACUCAAAUGAGUAUAGAAAAAAGCAUCUCAGGCCUUAGAUAUGAAAACUUCAUUCAUGUUUUCUAAAUUAGACUGAACUCUGUAUCCAAAACUCCAAAAAAAAUGAAGAUGUGACAAAAAGAAUACUUUUGAGUAAAUCUACGACUCUUGAGUUUUCAA